UACGUAGGGUGCGAGCGUUGUCCGGAAUUAUUGGGCGUAAAGAGCUUGUAGGCGGUUUGUCGCGUCUGCUGUGAAAAUCCGGGGCUCAACCCCGGACUUGCAGUGGGUACGGGCAGACAAGAGUGUGGUAGGGGAGACUGGAAUUCCUGGUGUAGCGGUGGAAUGCGCAGAUAUCAGGAGGAACACCGAUGGCGAAGGCAGGUCUCUGGGCCACUACUGACGCUGAGAAGCGAAAGCAUGGGGAGCGAACAGG
rnacentral:rRNA from 1 species